rnacentral:rRNA from 1 species
CAGCCGCCGCGGGAAUACGAAGGGUGCAAGCGUUAAUCGGAAUUACUGGGCGUAAAGCGUGCGUAGGCGGUGAGUUAAGUCUGCUGUGAAAUCCCCGGGCUCAACCUGGGAAUGGCAGUGGAUACUGGCUCGCUAGAGUGUGUCAGAGGACGGUGGAAUUCCCGGUGUAGCGGUGAAAUGCGUAGAGAUCGGGAGGAACAUCAGUGGCGAAGGCGGCCAUCUGGGACAACACUGACGCUGAGGCACGAAAGCGUGGGGAGCAAACAGGAUUAGAUACCCCGGUAGUCCCUGUCUCUUAUAC